rnacentral:rRNA from 1 species
UACGGAGGGUGCGAGCGUUAAUCGGAAUUACUGGGCGUAAAGCGCGCGUAGGCGGUUUGAUCAGUCCGUCGUGAAAGCCCCGGGCUUAACCUGGGAACUGCGGUGGAUACUGUCGGGCUAGAGUGUGGUAGAGGGGAGUGGAAUUUCCGGUGUAGCAGUGAAAUGCGUAGAGAUCGGAAGGAACACCAGUGGCGAAGGCGGCUCCCUGGACCAACACUGACGCUGAGGUGCGAAAGCGUGGGGAGCAAACAGG